rnacentral:rRNA from 1 species
AUUGAACGCUGGCGGCAGGCCUAACACAUGCAAGUCGAACGGCAACAGGAAGCAGCUUGCUGCUUCGCUGACGAGUGGCGGACGGGUGGGUAAUGUCUGGGAAGCUGCCUGAUGGAGGGGGAUAACUACUGGAAACGGUAGCUAAUACCGCAUAAUGUCGCAAGACCAAAGAGGGGGACCUUCGGGCCUCUUGCCAUCGGAUGUGCCCAGAUGGGAUUAGCUUGUUGGUGGGGUAACGGCUCACCAAGGCGACGAUCCCUAGCUGGUCUGAGAGGAUGACCAGCCACACUGGGACUGAGACACGGUCCAGACUCCUACGGGAGGCAGCAGUGGGGAAUAUUGCACAAUGGGCGCAAGCCUGAUGCAGCCAUGCCGCGUGUAUGAAGAAGGCCUUCGGGUUGUAAAGUACUUUCAGCGGGGAGGAAGGGAGUAAAGUUAAUACCUUUGCUCAUUGACGUUACCCGCAGAAGAAGCACCGGCUAACUCCGUG